rnacentral:rRNA from 1 species
ACGGGGGGAGCAAGCGUUGUUCGGAUUUACUGGGCGUAAAGGGCGCGUAGGCGGUCAGCACAAGUCAGCUGUGAAAUCUCCGGGCUUAACUCGGAACGGUCAGCUGAUACUGCGGGGCUAGAGUGCAGAAGGGGCAACUGGAAUUCUCGGUGUAGCGGUGAAAUGCGUAGAUAUCAGGAGGAACACCGGUGGCGAAGGCGGUCAUCUGGCUCGGAACUGACGCUGAGGCGCGAAAGCGCGGGGAUUAAACAGGA